rnacentral:rRNA from 1 species
GACGAACGCUGGCGGCGUGCUUAACACAUGCAAGUCGAGCGGAAAGGCCCUUUCGGGGGUACUCGAGCGGCGAACGGGUGAGUAACACGUGAGUAAUCUGCCCCUGGCUUUGGGAUAGCCACCGGAAACGGUGAUUAAUACCGGAUGCGACCACUUCUCGCAUGGGAUGGUGGUGGAAAGUUUUUCGGCCAGGGAUGUGCUCGCGGCCUAUCAGCUUGAUGGUGAGGUAAUGGCUCACCAUGGCUUCGACGGGUAGCCGGCCUGGGAGGGUGACCGGUCACACUGGGACUGAGACACGGCCCAGACUCCUACGGGAGGCAGCAGUGGGGAAUAUUGGACAAUGGGCGGAAGCCUGAUCCAGCAACGCCGCGUGAGGGAUGACGGCCUUCAGGUUGUAAACCUCUUUCAGCAGGGACGAAGCGCAAGUGACGGUACCUGCAGAAGAAGCACCGGCCAACUACGUGCCAGCCGCCGCAGUAA